UGAUAUUCUAGUUAAACUACUUCUUG
rnacentral:tRNA from 1 species